GAUAAGUUAGUGUAUAUCGCAUAAUAGGCUUUUACCCUAUUGGAAAUUCUUGUUAAUAUUAAUUAUUA
rnacentral:tRNA from 1 species